CCUACGGGUGGCAGCAGUGAGGAAUAUUGGUCAAUGGGCGGGAGCCUGAACCAGCCAAGUCGCGUGAGGGAAGACGGUCCUACGGAUUGUAAACCUCUUUUGCCGGGGAGCAACGGGGUCCUUGCGAGGGCCCGAUGAGAGUACCCGGAGAAAAAGCAUCGGUUAACUCCGUGCCAGCAGCCGCGGUAAUACGGGGGGUGCGAGCGUUAUCCGGAUUUAUUGGGUUUAAAGGGUGCGUAGGCGGGCUGUUAAGUCAGCGGGCAAAUGUCGGGGCUCAACCCCGGCCUGCCGUUGAAAGUGGCGGCCACUAGUGGGCUAGAGGUAUGCAGAAGGAGUGGUGUAGCGGUG
rnacentral:rRNA from 1 species